rnacentral:tRNA from 3 species
GGCGGGUUGCCCGAGCGGCCAAAGGGAUCUGACUGUAAAUCAGACGGCUCUGCCUUCGGGGGUUCGAAUCCCUCACCCGCCA